ensembl:lncRNA
GGCUGCGGGGACACGGCCGCCCCAUAAGGCGGGGACCCCAUAACCUGGUGACCCCAUAAGGCAGGGACCCCAUUGGCCCCAUUGGCCCCACAACCCAUUGACCCCAUUGGCCCCAUAAGCCAGAGACCCAGUUGGCCCCAUUGGCCCCAUAAGCCAGGCCCCAUUGGCCCCAUAACCCAGGGACCCCAUUGGCCCCAUAAGCCAGAGACCCCAUUGGCCCCAUUGGCCCCAGAACCCACUGACCCCAUUGGCCCCAUUGGCCCCACAGCCCAUUGGCCCCAUUG